UGUUGCUACAUUUUUUUCUCUGGGCUGGAUGAGCUGUGAUUACUUUUUCCCUUCCCCUUUGAACUCCUGCCCACCCAGAGCACAGGCAGUGCUCGCAAGUGUUUCACCGGGACAGAAGAGACUCUGGAAGCUGAAGGGCUGCAACUGCAAGCCUGCGCGUUUGGACUGCUGAGCCAGCAGAGAAGUGGGCGAGGAGAAUCGAGACGGACCCCUGGAUGCCAACAUGCAGGUGCAGACCUUUCCGCUGUAAGCCCCAUAACCACAAGCCAGCCCAAAAGGACAGGUGGUACUGCGGACAUAACUGAGUGAAGUACAGCAUCGUGAAACUGCAGGAACGCUGUGACAGGUAGGGACCGGCAGUCGUCCUAUUUGGAUACGGCUCUGCUACCACCGCUCUGCAUAUGAACGAUCCCAUCCGCAAAUCAAACUGAACGCUUAUCACAGCACAAAGCACUUGAUGAAGACUAAUGAUUCCAACGUCGGAGACUGCCCACGUAGCUUACCCUGUGGGAAAGCUCUGCCGAUAAGAGCUUUGAAGGUACUGCGGUGGGGGUGGAGAGCGUCUUCCCCCAGAUAGUCACAGCAGGAGCCCACAGGUCAUUUGUAUUGCUGUCACACGACGCUGAGAUGUCGACAUGGGCGGGAUAUUGUUGUGAGCAGAGUCUGCCGCCGUGACAGCCUAGAAUGGCCAUGAACCUAGAAAGAAAAGAUUUAGGGGCCAGUGAUGAAUUGAAAGAGAUGAAGAGGGACGUAGUAUUUUAUAGAACAUUGAUAAGAUCAUCACUUGAUUUGUUUUUUCCCAGAAUAAUCUCAUACCAUUCAUCAGAAAAGGCGCUAAAGCAGCAAUGUGGAUGUCCAGCCCAGUGGAAAUGGUUUCGCAUGAUCUCUGAACUGGACGAAACAUUGGCAAGGGGUGCUGGCAACUGAUGGCAAAGGGUUGGUCACGUAUCCCACCGCCAGGUGUGUGCUGAGCAUCCUGCACGACCUCGUGGUUGUCACAGCAGCACAGGGUCUGCACUGACUGAGGACCCACAGACCAACGUGAGACCCCUUCUCACACCUGCUGUAAAUGGAUGCCACGUGAAGAGUGCUGAGCGUAAGAUUCCUUGGGUUUCUCACAGGAUGCAAAGAGCCACCUCCAUGCUUACAGCACUGGAAUUGUAAGAUUUUCACCCUUCGGUCAUUUUUUUCCUUGAUUUUAUCUCAAGUUUUCUAUUACGGAGUACUCUUCCUAAGGAUACUUUACAUAAAAGACAAAAUAAAUGUAAUUGCAUCCAGAAAAUGCUCACGUGUGGUCAGAUGCUGUUAAGAUCACACUAAUUCUUGUGGAAAAUUUGUUCACUAUUUGUUUCUGAUGAGCACAGGGAUUGACAGCAUCCCUUAAAGACAUGAAAACAAAUAACUCCCUUUCAAGCACAGUCAGUAUUCCUUGCGCUGUGCUGGCACAGUGCAUCCCCUGGAUGAGUAUGCAGUGCUGGAUGGCUGCCUCUUCACCUGCAGGGCUUAUGGAGCCCUCACCUUGCUCAGAUUACCUGAGGGUAAUUUCUGGACUGGUUUGUGGCUUUGGGAUGAGGAAUUCAGCUCUCAUCACCGCACAUAGCCUGUGGGAAUGAGCAGGCAUAUGGAAUUAGGCUGCUGGGAGCAGAAGGCACCAAGUGAGCUUUCAAAUGCUCCAUCAGCAGUCAAACAGCAUUUUUCACCUCUACAUCCCUUACUUCCCAAAUCGUGGUUUAUAUUCAUGCACAUUAUCCGUGUAUCUGUAGUAACAAAAUGACUACACAUUUUGUUUCCUCACCUACCUUGGGAAUUACCUCCUGAAUGGACUAAGUACUCCGAUAACAAGAAAAAAUACUGCUGUCGAUAUGUAAAGGAAGUGUAUAAAUACUUCUGAGUUAACCAUGGUUGAAAUAUCCUUAAUCCAAAUCAGAUGUGUUUUUUUUGUUUGUUUGUUUGUUUGCAUUGCAAAAGUCAAAAUGAGGAAGGAGUAACUGGGAGCAAAGAAGUCUCUGUAUGUCCUCUGAUGCCAGCUGUGGUGCUGUGAGCUUUAGAUCUGUGUUUUUUCCCCUCAUCUUUAAUUAAGCUUAAUGAUAAUGUGUGAUUUCUCAAGUGUUAUUUUAAUGGUGUAGGUUGCUCCAGGUGAAUAAAAAAUAUUGCACAGCUGUUACAGGGCUCUGCCUUCCCUGGGCAUGGGAGCAGCACUGCACUGUGUUACUCUGUUAUCUGCAACUAACUGUUAGAAAUGCUCUUCCAAGCAACAAGAUGCCUUCUUCCCAACUUAUCGGUGACGCUGCGUGUCAACGGGUUAUUCAAAAGAAGUGCCACUUACAGUUCUGCUGAACUAAAGUGCAGAUGACAGGAAAAAUCAGUGCUUUCCAAACUGAAACAAAAUACCUUCGGUUCCUGCUUGCUGUGCAUCGUGAAUCUGUUUGCACCCCACCAGAAGCCAAGCGAGCAGAAUUUGAUUCAAUACAACUAACAGGAUGUGUUAUUUUCAGGUUCAUGAACAAGAACUGUUGGUUCAUUCUUCUUCCUUUCUCCUUUUCUCUUCAACUGCUGAUUCAUUUUCAGCUAUAAAUCAUCCUGGCUGGAAAUUCUGUGUAAGCCAUUAGAAAUGAAGACACAAAGUGACCAGCUGAAAAGCCAAGGAGCUGCAGUUUGACAUGCUUUCAAUGCUGUAAAUGCUAAUACAACCUGAACAACUUCAGUGCAACAACUACUGCUCUGCUAAUUAAGCAACUUUUUAAUGGGACACUUUGAAGCCAGUAGGUAUAUAUUUAUUUCACAAUCGAAACGUCUCUGAAGUCCAGGUGGCAUUAAAUUUUGCAUGAGCUUCUGGUAAAUUACAGAACUUAUUUUCCUUUAAAAGCUGUAGAAAGAAAAUUUCAGGGGGGGGAAAAAAAAGGUGCAUGCGUGUUUCUCUAAUAAGAGAGUUCUGAUUCAGGACAGAUAAUCUCCAGGACAGAUAAUCUCUUUUUACGUAAUCAUGAGAGCGGGCAGAAAAAAAAUGCCCCCGAUGUAAAGCAUGUACAUUAAUCAAACUGUGUGCAACCUGAGCUGCUGAGGAAGCAACAGAGAGUUGCAGCGGGCAAAAAAGCAUUGUAAUUCAUAUUGAUCAAAAGGAACCAUCGUAUGUCUGUUUGGCUAAGUCGAACAGGUCACUUUCUGAGGGCAAAAUGAAGUAAUGAUACUGUAACUAACAUAUUUAAUUUGUUUUUCGUUUCUCCCCCUCAGCCUUUCAAACCAUUCAUUAAGUCUCUGGAGGCUACAUAUAUAGCUGUAUUCCUUGCUCUGUUGAACGCUCCUAAUUUUGAUUCAUUCUGCUGGCAUUUUAAGCUGAAGGCAAAAAUACAUACAUAUACAUAAAAGGGUUAUUGCAAAGUCUUCGUUGUCUUCUUGGGAAUGUGCCUGCCUGCCCAAACCUUGGGAGCAACUUCCUUUUUUGUUAUUAUUCACAUUCCUUCCCUAUUCCAUCUCUCAGUUCACACUUCCAAUUAAAAGGAUAAUCCAGUCCUGAUCUUCACAUUUUUAUUUCACAUCCUAAGAGGCACUUGAAACAAGCACAUGAUAAUCACAUUACAUAAAUCUUACUUGUAUGCAUUGUACAUGUUUCUGUCAACGUGCUAGUGAUACUCAGUGUGGUUCUAGAACGUUUGCAUACAAAUUAUAUUGCCAGUCACUCCUCACCCUAUUACAUAAACAAUUCACAGAACCAUAGAAUCACAGGAUGGCUGAGGCUGGCAGGGAUACCUGCAUCCCUCUGGCCCAAUUGCUCUCCAGCAGGGCCACCCAGAGCGGGGUGCUCAGACCCACG
ensembl:lncRNA